GAAACUUAUGCUGGACUAUAAAUUGGUUCCUUAGCUUUGCCCCAUUAGUCCAGAGAAAUACUUAUUUAUCAGUGUAUAUACACAACUCAUUGAUCAUACUGAGUAAUCUAAAUUACAAAGCAGUCUGCAUCAUUUAUAAUAUGCAAUAAGCCACUUCAUUGAAUCCACAGUGAAUCUGUAGGUAGUCCGAGAAACAGUAAGUCUAUCACUACGUGUCUGUCUACUGUUUGUCUGCCUGGGUGUCUACUGCUAAUGAAGCUACUAUAGUUAAUCCACAUUCAAGCACACAGUAUG